rnacentral:rRNA from 1 species
AUACUGAGGGUGCAAGCGUUAAUCGGAAUUACUGGGCGUAAAGCGCACGUAGGCGGUUUAUUAAGUCAGAUGUGAAAGCCCUGGGCUUAACCUGGGAACUGCAUUUGAGACUGGUAGGCUAGAGUAUGGUAGAGGAUAGUGGAAUUCCGGGUGUAGCGGUGAAAUGCGUAGAUAUCCGGAGGAACAUCAGUGGCGAAGGCGGCUAUCUGGACCAAUACUGACGCUGAGGUGCGAAAGCGUGGGGAGCAAACAGGAUUAGAUACCCUAGUAGUCC